rnacentral:rRNA from 1 species
CGGCCCUACGGGUUGUAAACUGCUUUUAUACGGGAAUAAACCUAUCUACGUGUAGAUAGCUGAAUGUACUGUAAGAAUAAGGAUCGGCUAACUCCGUGC